rnacentral:lncRNA from 1 species
CUCACAUCGCAGCAAAACAGACGUCACGCUCUUCCUCCAUUUCUCUCUCGCGCAGAGCUAAGUUAUGCUCUUCUUCUCGGAAUUCAGAUCCUAGGGUUUCGUUUCCUUUCCCUCUUCUUUCUCAGAAGUUAAACCCCACCUAAGCCUUCUCAAUCCUCUACAUUUUGCCUCUUCGCUUUCCACAUUUCACCUCCAUUAUCAAUUUCUAUAUUCCAGGAAAAUCUAACUCCUCUGGACCUGCCACAUCAAUCAAUUCAUGGCCAAAACCAAACCAGGCAAAAAAGACCUCGAUUCCUACACUAUCAAAGGCACCAACAAAGUUGUUCGACGUAUGUACUCUCUCUCUCUCUCUCUCGCUCUCUCUAUUGGUGGAAUCUCCAUCAUUCCUUUUUUGCCUUUGGGAACCCAUGAAUUUCUCAUCUUUUUCCCCCUUUUAGAACCCAUAUUCUCAUAUUGUUUCCUUUUUUUGACGUUAAAGAUUUUGAAAACCCAGUAUUAAUGGAAGUUUUCAUACUUUGUUUUUCAUCAUUUUUAAUGUUGGGUCAUUUGUUUUCCCGUUUGGGUCUCUGAAGACCGUGGAAGUUGCUACUUUUUUGCUUAUUCUCAAAAACCCCAAAAUCUCGUUUUUAUGAUAAUUUUUGAACCGCCCAUUUUGCAGAAAUAUUGCCUAACUUUUAUUUUUUGAUCAUUCAAUGUUUUGUUCAUUUUGUUGCAGCUGGUGAUUGUGUGUUGAUGCGCCCAUCGGACUCCGAUAAGCCUCCCUACGUCGCACGAGUUGAGAAAAUUGAGGCCGAUCAUCGCAAUAAUGUCAAAGUCCGUGUCCGGUGGUACUAUCGGCCAGAGGAGUCCAUUGGUGGCCGCCGUCAAUUCCAUGGGGCAAAAGAGCUCUUCUUAUCGGACCACUACGAUGUGCAAAGUGCACACACAAUUGAAGGCAAGUGCAUCGUGCACUCAUUCAAGAACUACACUAAGCUUGAAAAUGUUGGAGCUGAGGACUACUUCUGUAGAUUUGAAUACAAGGCUGCCACUGGUGGGUUCACCCCUGAUCGGGUAGCUGUGUGAGUAUUCUUUUGCAUUUUCUGUUAUUUGGGUUGAAUUGAUUUUGUAGGUUUUUAAGUGUUGAAGUAAUUGGAUUAUUCAACUGAGACCUGGAUUCUUUUUUCUUCCUUGUAAGGUACUGUAAAUGUGAGAUGCCAUACAAUCCAGAUGAUCUAAUGGUGCAGUGCGAGGGUUGCAAAGAUUGGUAAAUUUUUUGCCAACUCUCAAUUUUUAACAAGAAUUAUAUAUAUUAAAUUGCAAAGCUUACAUUUACAUAUUCUGCUGAUCUUUUAAUUUGUAGAAGCCACAUGAAUUUUGAAUUAGUGUGGACAUACUGUCCUUUUGGUCUGUUUAUCAAAUGUUUCACGGUAGUAUUUCCAUUAUUGAUAUACUUAUAACCUUGCGCUCAAUUUAAACCUUUGUUUGGCUGGUUAAACACUUAGUUAACUUAAGUGCACCAAGUGAUGCUGUACCUUGAAUGUUUAGAGGAAGUAUAUCCAUCUUAUAGUAUUUUCAUAUUUCGUUGUUUAUUUGGACUGUCGCCAAAAGCAAUAAUUGGUGCCAAUGUGUCAUUAAGCUUGUGAGUUGCAUGAUGCUGCAAAGCUCUAGCUUAUGUAAGGUUUUUAAUGAAUGAAUCUAGCUUGAACUAAGUGAAGCUUGCUGAAGCACUUGCAUUAAUUGUGUAUGGGUCUGAGUCAGCCUGUAUGUGGGCACGUUUCAUAUCUAACAGUCUUUUACAAUAGACUAAAGAAGUAACACACACACACACACACACACACACACCCACCCACCCACCAUGUACUUCUAGUAAGGUCCCUAAAUGUUAAGCAUCUAGAAAUGACAUUAUAAUAAUUAGGAUGGUUAGCUAUGUUGCUGAAGCACAUGCAUUAAUUGUGUAUGGGUCUGAGUACUGUAUGUGGGCACGUUUCAGAUCUAACAGUCUUUUACAAUAGACUAAAGAAGUAAAACACACACACACACACACACACACACCAUGUACUUGUAGUAAGGUCCCUAAAUGUUAAGCAUCUAGAAAUGACAUUAUAAUAAUUACGAUGGUUAGCUAUGUUGCUGAAGCACUUGCAUUAAUUGUGUAUGGGUCUGAGUCAGCCUGUAUGUGGGCACUUUUCAGAUCUAACAGUCUUUUACAAUAGACUAAAGAAGUAACACACACACACACACACCAUGUACUUGUAGUAAGGUCCCUAAAUGUUAUGCAUCUAGAAAUGACAUUAUAAUAAUUAGGAUGGUUAGCUUUUGGUGAUCGAAUGAUUAAUAAUUGUUGUUAUAUGCCUGAUGAUCGAAAGUAGUAAACACCUGAUAUUGAGUUGUAAGCAGAAAACUUAUGUUAUAUUGCAGGUGCUUACUUAAAAAUGUGUCAUCUUGGUGUUUGGUGUAGUUUCAAAUCACCUUUUAUCAUAGUUUCAACAUCAUAUUAUUAUGAAUUGGAUUCAUGAACUUUCUUACUUGUAGUAUUAAGAAAGGUCGCAUGGAGUUUUGAUGGGUUCUUUGAACUUUUUUGGAUUAAUUGUAACAUUGUGUUUCUUGUCUGUCAAAGCUCAUUAACUGUAGAUUGUUUAAACUUUUAGAUGAAGUACUCAAUUUAUAUUGGAAUUUGGAACUCUUUCACAGCUGAUUGGGUUUAUUUAUUUAUUUUUAUUCUUCUAUCAACUAAAUUUGGAAGGGACGCUUUCCUUUAAUAUCCUUAACCAAGUGGAAUAGACAGAUCCAUUUAGCUGAUCCAUUAGAUUGAGAUUAAUGCUUGAUUUUACCAAGUAGAAACAUUAUGGAAAUAGAUCGAAACCAGAAUUUGAUGGUUGAACACUUAUUUAACCGUGGUGCGCUUUUUUGAAGUUGUGAUAUAUCAUAUACUGCAUAAUCAAAUAUUACAACUUGUCGAAUUGGAUUGUUUUUUUGUGCUUGAGUGAUUAUGCAAUAGCAGUAAGUUCUUGAGUGAUUAUGUAGCAGUAAGAACACUAAAAACUGUGAUUUCCUAACCGCUUUGCUAAUACAUUGCAGGUUUCAUCCUUCUUGUAUGGGUAUGACAAUUGAAGAAGCCAAAAAAUUGGAUCACUUUCUGUGUUUUGACUGUUCCUCUGAUGAUGAUGCCAAAAGGACUUUGAACGCUUUCCCAGUAUCACCAUCUGUUGAGGCCAAGGUGAACAUUGUGUCCCAUCUCCCUAGUACAACUACAGGUGUGGGUGAAUAAGUAGCGCCUAGGUGUCAAAUUAUCAUGAGAACUAGUGAUCAGCUUCGCUGCUUGUGUACUGAUAUUAUUUGUUCUUCCAGUUCUGGUGGUUUUAAUCUUUUACAACUUGGUACUUGGUUUCUCCAGCCAUCCUUUUUCCCUGUCAGUUUUGCAAUCAAGUUAUAUUCUCAUCUCAAAGAUUAUAGGAUGAUGCUCAGCUUGUUGUCUUAGAUGUCAUGCUUUGGUCUUGCACAAUCUUUGCCCACCUUAUCUGUCAUAUAACCUGUUUUCACUGUGCAACCAAAUUUCAGUUUUGUUACCUAUUGGCAUGUAACUAAUGAUAAAAAAUGCCAACUGAUUUUGACGGUAUGGAUGUAUAGGGGCUUCUUAAUAUGAAUGCAGGAAAUUUCUAUAAAGUUUGAUAUGGAAGAAAUAGCUGAGAGCCGCAUUAAUUUGGAGGCAUAUAUACUGUGAUUAUGACAUCGUUAAGUGAUUAAAGUAGUGCAAACAUUGUAGAAGAGUACAAUACUCACUAUGCUGAUACUGCAUAGAGCUCUACUGAUUUGUGUUAAAGUUUAUCCUGGGCUGAUUGUGCCCUUGCUAGUUGCAAAUUUUGGUUCCAUGUACUAAUAUUCUAAGGCCUCUUGGGCCUUUGGGAUUGUUGUUAUUGGUCGUGUUUCGUACAUUCAAAAACACAGAGGAAUAUUGGCCAAAUUAUGUUCAGUUCAUGGGGAACUAAGGAUUACUGACCUGAGCAUUACUAUUUCCAUUGGCGGGCAUGAAAAGGUGUAUCUUAACAUGAUGGUCCAUCAAAUGACAUUUUACUUGUUCAAUUGUAUUGCAACAUACACCUCAGAUGGUACGUAAAUAUUGGCCGAGUUAAUUUGUCUGUUAAUGAACAAAUGCACAUGGGACAGGGGGUUGGCGUUUGAUUUGGGAUUUCUUUUUUAGUUUCUUAACAAGCAUGCCAUCAGCUUCUUAUUGCAAUUAAAUUUAAACUGUGUAGUUAUAUUGUUUCAAGGUAGAGCAGAGGAUUAGCAAGUAGAAUACAUGCUUAAUUAAUUUAGAUCAUCGAAUGUUGGAUUAGAGAGAGAGAGAGAGAGAGGAAACAGCUUAAUGGGUGUGACCUUGUUCAUCCUAGUUGAUGGUUUCCAUUUAUAUUUAGGGAUAAAUUGGAAGGUUGGAAUGGAUGUGUUGGUGGCAGUGAAAAGUACCACCUACUACCUAGGAGGUUGGACUUCAAACAAGUUCUGUUUCUAUUGAGGGCAAUGUCUAUGCAGCAGUGAUUAUUUGAGGUCCUAUACUCUGUUGAGAAAUUGGUUUUUUAUUUGCUUAGCCAAUUUUUUCCCCUUUUUAAUUUUCUCCAUCAACGGUCAGUAUGCUCUUGCUUGAUCAUGGUAAACUAGUAUAGUAAUGCUUUAUACUAUGUAUUGGAGGAAGUUAGUUUUAAAAGAAGGUAAGGUUUUUGGACUUCACUAACUCACACGCAUAUACACACAUGAACGAGAAUGUCAUAUGCACAAUAAUCAGACUGGUACUUUUAUCAUUGCAGACUUUGUUUACAAUUUCAUCGUAUUAGAUUUUACACAUUACUUUUGCUGCUUAUCACAUGAUACUUCUAGAAUUUGGGAUGGGAUCUUGUAGUUUAGUUGUCUAAAAACUCUACAUGUCCAUUUCCUUUAGAUCUUCUCUGUUGUGUGGAAGCGAAAUAUUGUGAAAUAUUCUAUUUCUACUUUAUAGGUUUUGCUUCUUUACAGUUAUUGGUGAUUUGCUUAACAUGGAUUUUCUAUAUAAAGGAUUUUAGUUUUAACAGAAAACAUUUUUUGAUGGUUGCAGAAACUAGUAACUUUCUGGUGUCUGUCUAAGGUGUUCCCAUGUUAUUUUGUCUUUGCUAAGUUGCUUAUUUGCAUAAGUAUUAUCUGUACAAGUAUCUCACAUGGUAACCCUAGCAUACUUUAUUUAUCUAAUAUGAUACUCGUUUGGUAUUUUGACUUUAUAACUUGCUUUAGCUUUCUCUGUUGAAACUAAUCUGUACUUUGCAUCUCUAAGUAAAUCUUUGUGCUUGAGAGUUUCGGAUGGCAUUUGAUUGUUUAGAUAUCCAAAUGAUCAUCUCCUCAAGUUCUGCUUGGAGCUAAAUGUUGUAGUCCUCUUGGUGUUCAUAAUUAGUGAUUAUUUUAUCUGUAUGAUGCAUAUAUCUGACUGAGUCAUGAAAUUAUGUAACACUCAUGAGCAGGUGGCAAAAUUGGAUGCCAAUCUUUGUGGGGAGAUUAUAUUCCCUGUGCUUUGUCUAUUUUGGUCAGAGAGAAAAUAAUGUUAAUUCAUUAACCCUUCGUUUGGUAUGAAUGAUUUUGUAAGAAAAGAAUUCAAAUGAAUUCUUGCAAAAUCAUUCAUGAUUUCAUUUUUUAUACAUGAUAAAAAGUUUUCAAGUUAAAAAAUUUUUAAUUCUUUUAUUUCAAACAAAAAUUUUGCAAGAAAAGAAUUCAAUUGAAUUGAAUUCUUAUAAAAUUCUUAAUUCCAAACAGAGGGUAAAGGAUUUAAGUCAUAUUUAUGAAAGUUAAUUUAUCAGAAGCAUUAGAAGUUCUGAAUAAUUAGCGAAUUUUAUUGCAAAAGAUGGAGGUGUAGCCUGUGUAAGUUUAAAUGGCAUAUUUUGUUUACAAGGAAAAGCUAAUGGAUUUAUGUUAAAUGCUUUGGAAAAGGAUCCUUUUGUUUUUGUGUUGCCUGAAGAAGAAUAUAUGUGUUAAUUCCUACGAAAAGAAAAUUCAUUUCAAUUGAUAUUUUGAUUCUUGAUUGUUUCUAAUAUGGGAUUAUUAGUCUUUUCUGUUUUUUUGUCCCUUUACUCUUUAUGAUGUAUUUUUCUCGUCUUGGUUUUUUAUGCUAGCUGGAGACAAAGCGAAGGAAGAGAUGACAGAUAAUCAUGAUGGGUGAUUGGGAGGUACUUUUUCUUGCACAUUAGCUGCAGUGUGUUCUUGUUGCUUGAUGUUCAAUUAUACAGUGCUGAUAAGAUAUUAUGCUUGCACAAGCAAGAGGCUCUUCUUAUUUAUAAUUUUCUAGUGUUUGUUCGUGCGAAUGGUCUUAGGAGAUGAUCUGUAGUGCCUAAUGAUGUCCUCGUGAGUGCUGUGCCAAAAAUUGAAGUGUCUUUUUUCUUUUCUGCUCCUAAAAUGAUGAUGAAUCAAAUUAAAUGUCUCGUGAACCUUGGGUUUGUUAUGGUAUAUGCUAUAUAUGUGACAAACUCAUUCUGUUCUUCCUUUCUUCUUCCCUUAAUCACAAGGGACGUGGAAAGAGGAGUUGGGUUUUAGCAAGAGAUGUAACAGUCGACUUAAUCCAGGCACUGCUUUGGACUCAAAUCUUCAUGUGGGGUGAUUUGUUGAUGUAGAUGAAGGCAAAUACCACUUAGUCUCAACGUCCAAGGGUGGUUAUGGUUUUCUUGUUCCUUUUUUCAUUUUUUUCUUUUUGUAUAGAUGGCUCUGGACAAAUUUUUGAGCCAGUGUCCCAAUUCUCUAGUUGCCAAGUCUUCUGAAAUUUUGAAUCACCUGUUGAAAGCUAGCUGAUUGAAUGUGGGAUUUCCUCUAUUGAGCAGAGCUGCUGAUAGCCUUGCCGAGGGCAUCAACUGUUCCGUAUGAAUAUAUAUGAAUAAACCAUAUUUGUAGGAGCAGGGGAGCAAUGCCACCAUCUAUUGGUGAGCAUCUUUAUCUAAUUAUGCAUAUUUUUGUUAUCGACAGCCUCUAGUUGAGAAAGAGAGAGAGAGAAAAGUUCACAUUGGAGUUUUGUGUGCAUAAUGCAUGAAUGGGUUUCUUGAAGGAUUUGGAAUCCCACACAUAUGUUCUAAGAUGAUAUUUUAAUCACAUAUAUCAGAGUUGAGUGCUGGGAAAGAAAAUGCAAUUUAUGGUAUCAUACUGGAUCUUACUGGUUUCUGAGGGAAAAGGUAAUAACUCAAAAAUUGCAUGGUUAAGAAGAAAAAACAAAAAGAAAGCAAGGAGGAGCACUGUUUGAAUGCGGAUCGUUAAGCAAAUGUUGGUUGUUGAUCAACAUCCAUUUAUUAUGAAGGAUUUUAAUAAAAAAAAUUUACAUGUUUAAAAAAAGGUUUAACUAAUGAAAACUUAAAAAGAGAUUAUCUGUGUUUGCAAGGUCAUAAAGAGGUCAUAAAAUAUCUGGUCUCAAACAUGUGUAUCUAAUUAAUGGAGAAAUUUACUAUUUAGGAAAAUUUAUUAGUUGAUCUAUUGGGAUUGAAGAAUAUAUUGAGAUUUUAAAAAAUUUAUUAAAUUAGUUAUUUCUUUUAUUUUAGCCAAUAAGUAUAGUAUUAUAUAAUCUCAAUGGUAUGGAAAAAUUAGAGAGCUGAUGUAGCAAUGGAGGUUAAAUUUAGCAAAAGGAGUUAAUGGUGGGAUAAACUAAUCCUAUGGUAACAGUUCAAGCUAAAUCUAUCAAGAAAAAAAAUUUUUCUUUUUUUAUUUAAUAUAUAUUAAAAAACUAAAACCUAUUGGUUUCUUAAAUAAUUUCUUUUUAUUAAGAAAUUUCUAAAGUAUUUUAAAGCAUAAGGUAUUUAAUUUUUUUGAUGAGUAAGAAAAGUCAAUAAAAUUCAUUACUUAAUCUGUGUCAACUUUAUUUUCUUAAAUAAAGUUAUUUAUGGAUUUAUUAUUAUGUUAUUAUUUAAUAUGCCAAUAAAAAAAAUUUAUCCAUUGUAGAAGUAAUUUGAUGUAAUAUAAUAAUAUUAAGAAAAAGGUUAAACAGAAAUUAUUUUAACUAUAUUAAUCAUUGUCUCUUCUUAAAUUAUAUUGAAAAGAGUAAUAACUAUACUAGAACUUACAAGCGAUUGCUAUAGCCUUGAAUUCAACAUGUAACAUGGGGAGACCUUUCUGUUAUUCAAGGUGUAACUAUCAUCUUUAAAAAAAAAAUCGUUUACUUGUCCUCUGUUAUUCAUGAAAAGAAAUUUCUUGCACGUAUCUACAUGUUAAAGUUAUCAGUUUUAGAGGAGGGGCAAUAGUUCGAGUCAGUCAAAAGUAAGCUCAGAAAUAUUAGAGACACUCCAUCAAAGACUUAAAAAAAUGACAAUUUCAAUUGACUUAUUGAAAAAGUCCCUCACACACAGUUUGAGUCAACAGAUCAAAAGGUAUGUUUUGGUUCGAUUUUAAAUAACAUUAUAAAAAAGAGCUUGAUCUUAAACAAUAUUAUAAAAAAGAGCUUGUUAACCUUUUGAGAAGUACGAAGCUUCGACAUAAUCACACACAGCUUAAAUAUAGAUAUUUUAGUUAAGUCGAUUCAGCAAAAAAAAAAGAAGGAAAUUCACUUGUAAAAGAGAGUAGGUAAUAAAAGGUGAAAUUAAUAAACUGUCAAAUGCAUGAUUGAUUAAGAAAAUGCAAUAUUCUACAUGACUCAUUAAUGUGGUGCUAGUGAAAAAACCUUAUAGAAAGUGAAGGAUAUGUGUAGACUUUACGAAUUUAACCAAAGCAUGUCCCAAGAAUCAGUAUCGACUCUAUCUAUUGAAAGGUUAGUUGUGGUUUCUUUUUUUGAUAUUAUUUCAAGUGUGAAACUAUUUAGAAGUAAUAUAGUUUCUAAGAGGGGUAUGAAGAUUAACACAUAAAAAUUAAAGCAAUAUGGGACAUAAAAGUAUCAAAAUGCAUUAAUGAUAUCUAAAAAUUAAACGAGCGGAUGACAACCUUCGGUAGUCAUUUCAUAUUCCGCUAAACGGUGUCAUUUUUUAAGACUUUAAAGAGAAAUAAUAAAUUCAUUUGAGGAGAAACUUUUAAUGGCUUAAAAGGUUUUGUAUCUUCUUCAUUAUUAUUUUAUAAAAUUAACUCCUUAAUUAUUAAUCAUUAAUUAUUUAAAUAUUUAAACUAUUUAAUUUUUAUAAUUUAAAUUAAAUAUAUUAUUUAAUCAUAUAAUUUUAAAUAUGUAUAUUAUGUAUAAUCUCUUUGACAAAAUUUAAAACAAAUUAAUUAAUAUUUCUCAUGACUAAACAAUUUAAUUAUAUAAAAAAUAUAUAAAUAAUUUAAUUAAGUAAUUUUAAAAUAAAAACAAAAUACUCCAUUUCUUAAAAUUUCAGAGACCUAAUAAUAAUUCAUCUAUUUUUUUCUUUAAAAAUGGAAGAUACUCUUUAACAAAACACACUGUCCUUUUGAAAUAGUUUAUAUAUAUAUAUAUAAAUAUAAAGCAUCAUUCAAUUAUAGAAUAUAAUUAUUCUAUGAAAUAUGAAAAUGGUAUUUAUUGGUAAGAAAUACGGUUUAAAAAAUAGUGCCCUAGUUUUCUUUCUCUAGUUUUCUUUCCUUCUCUUUGAGGCAGUGGUCUUGACUUUGCUGGUGAUGCAGCUGCCUUUUUCCAAUUUUUGCCUGGGUCACGUUCCUUUCCUCCCCACAUGGGUGAAAUUUUUUUCCCUUUUUCCUUUUUUUUUUUUUCAGUAGGUAAUGUUUAUCGAUAGAACGGUUUGUUUAUUUUUUCAGUCUGUGAUGUCCCAAGAUAAGUGACUAAAAAGUAGGUAAAUAGUCACUUUACCAAUUUUUCAACUGUUGUUCUAAGAUUCAAUUAAAAAUUAAAACUGCUAUUUCUGAGUAUGAGUGAGUUCUAGUUUAAACAGAUAAUUAAAAUAUUUUCUUGAAAGAUUAAAAAAUAAAUUUAUUAAAUGCAAAUAUGUACUAUAAAGAUUAAAAAAUAAAUUUAUUAAAUGCAAAUAUGUACUAAAUAGAUGUAGAUAACAUAAAGUAAAAAUGAAAUUAACAAGCUAAUUUUUGUAUAUUCUUGUAACAUUAUUUUAAUAUUUAAACACAUAUCUCAAAUAAAUAUUAAAAAGCUGNNNNNNNNNNNNNNNNNNNNNNNNNNNNNNNNNNNNNNNNNNNNNNNNNNNNNNNNNNNNNNNNNNNNNNNNNNNNNNNNNNNNNNNNNNNNNNNNNNNNNNNNNNNNNNNNNNNNNNNNNNNNNNNNNNNNNNNNNNNNNNNNNNNNNNNNNNNNNNNNNNNNNNNNNNNNNNNNNNNNNNNNNNNNNNNNNNNNNNNNNNNNNNNNNNNNNNNNNNNNNNNNNNNNNNNNNNNNNNNNNNNNNNNNNNNNNNNNNNNNNNNNNNNNNNNNNNNNNNNNNNNNNNNNNNNNNNNNNNNNUGCAGAGAGUUCUGGAUAUGCGUCCAUGUACGUUCAACAAUCAUCUCCUGGUUCUUGAGAAGUUGGAAGGUUUCUCCCACCCGUCUAAGGUUCCUCUUACCCAUGUCCCCUUCUGGAUUCAGGUGCAUGGUUUGCCGUCGGGGUUCUUUUUUGAACGUGUAGUGACCCGCAUAGGGAAUGAAUUGGGUGUCUUCAUGGAAUCUGAUCCUUACAACUUCCUGGGUCCUCGGAGGGCUUAUGUUCGGCUUCGAUACAAGCAUGACCUUUCAGCUCCCAUUCACAAAUCCUUGAGAAUGCGCAAGAGUGAUGGAGCAUGGUUCACUGCAACUUUUGCUUAUAAGAGGGCGCCCAGUUUCUGUUUCAUUUGUGGACUGUUUGAUCAUACAGAGAAAUUUUGCAGGGAGCUUCUGAAGUUUGGGAAUGCGCCAGUGGUUCGAAAAUUUGGGCCGAAAUUACGUGUCAAUCAUCGACGCCCUCAGAGUCUUGGCAGCCGAUGGCUUAAGGGAGGAGGAGGGGAGCAAAGCAUCCAAGGUCAGUCGAGUUUUAAUUCUGGUAAUUCCACUGAUAGCGGACUGAAUUCGCCUCCAAAUGCGGGGGUCUAUAAUGAUCAUGAUAUGGAAAGGGGUCAAGAGGAUCUUGAUGUUGGGGAGGAUCAAGCUAUGGGUUUGGGAGUUGGUGUAACCAUUGUUGAUCCUAAACGGCGACGUAUAGGACCUGAUCACAAGAAGGUCAUUGGGGAGAGGUCCUCUGUGGUACACGGUUCAAGCAAUGCAGGUAGUAAUCAGUCAAAAAAUGGAGUAGCGGCGGGUCCUGGGGUUCAGGCCCGCCGAUCACAAUGAGUUGUAUUAGUUGGAACUGUCGUGGGCUUGGCAACCCACGAGCAGUUCAGGCCCUGAAAGAGAUGAUCAGGGUUAAGAGGCCGAACUUUCUUUUCUUGAUUGAAACUUUAUGUGGUUCUGCUAGGGUGAAUGAGAUAAAAGGUUUGUUGGGCUUUGAUGAUUUUUUCAGUGUGGAUAGUUUGGGUCAUAGCGGAGGGUUGACUUUAUUGUGGAGGUCAGUCUCUUCUAUCUCUCUCUUAAGUUCAUCGCAACAUCAUAUUGAUACAGAAAUCUGCAUGGAUGGUGUUGGUUCUUGGCGCUUGACAGGGUAUUAUGGUGAAGCUGAUCGUGGCUCUCGCCACUUGUCUUGGCAGAGACUGCGUAUACUGGCAUCUCAUCUUGAAGCGCCUUGGGUGUGUUUGGGUGACUUCAAUGAUAUUCUUUCUCCAUCUGAGAAGCGAGGUGGUCGACCCCAACCUCCACGCUUGAUCAAUGGGUUUCGAAAGGCUCUUUGUGAUUCUGGUCUUAUAGAAUUUCCUAUGACAGGAUACCCGUUCACGUGGGAGCAUAGCAGAAACAGUGGUAGUUGGGUGGAAUCUAAGUUGGAUCAUGUUCUUACUAAUGCUCAAUGGCGUGCCAGGUUCUCUAAUUCUUUAGCUGAAGUGAUGGGUUUCUCUACAUCUGACCAUCUGCCUAUCCUGCUUGUAGUUAAAUGCUUUGUGGAACAGCGUCAUGCUCACCGGUUUCGUUUUGAGAAUACGUGGCUAUGUGAGACUGGUUGCCGGAAUCUUAUUUUUGAUAUUUGGCAGUCUUCUUCUAACAUGGAUGCUGCGGGUAAGCUUGAGGCUUGUCGUUCUGCUCUCAAAUCUUGGGGUAUAAAUCUUCGUCUUAAGCACAAAGUGGAGAUGGAUGAGUGCCUUGCUAUCAUGUCCCAUUUACGUGGCUCUCGCCUACAGGAACAUAUAACUGAGUUUUUACGAGCUAAAGCCUGCUUCUUUCACCUCCUAAAUCUCCGUGAGAUCUUCUGGAAGCAGCGGGCCAAGCAAUUUUGGCUUAAGGAGGGUGAUGCUAAUACUCGUUUUUUCCACCAGUCUGCCAGUGCUCGAAAAAGGAAAAACACGAUUGUCAAACUGCUAGAUGAUUCAAAUGUAUGGCGGGACAGGAAUUCGGGGUUGGAGGGUGUGAUGACUGAUUACUUUAUGACUCUUUUUACUUCCCACAGUUGUAAUUCUGAACAUGUUUUGCAGUGUGUCCCGACGUUGGUAUCACAAGAUCAUAAUGCUUCUCUCUUAGCGCCAUACAGUUGUGAUGAGGUAAGGUCUGCAGCCUUUUCCAUGAAAAUUGAUAAAUCUCCUGGGCUAGAUGGUUUCAAUCCUGGUUUUUUCCAGCAGUAUUGGAAUAUUAUAGGAGAUGAUGUAUCUAGUUUUUCCAUUGAGUGUCUGCAUUCCUUGUCUAUUCCUCUGAAGUUGAAUGAGACGGCUUUAGUUUUGAUUCCAAAGAAGUUUGUGCCUGAGCAAAUGAGCGACUUGCGUCCUAUAGCCCUCUGCAAUGUGGUCUAUAAGAUCAUCACUAAGAUGAUAGUUAAUCGGCUUAAGUCCCUUCUGCCCACCAUCAUCUCGGAGAGUCAGAGUGCUUUUAUUGCUGGUCGAAGUAUUCAGGAUAAUAUAAUCUUAGCUUUUGAGGCCUUGCAUGGUUUUAAAGUGCAUCAAAGGAAAAAAGAGUUUUCUGGGGCCCUCAAAAUGGAUAUCAGCAAGGCCUAUGAUAGACUUGAGUGGGGUUUCAUUCGGGAUAUGCUUCUUCGGCUGGGUUUUGCGCAACAAUGUGUUGCUUUGCUGUUCUCUUGUAUCUCCACUGUUCGUUAUUGGAUCCUGCAUGAUAGCAAGGAGUUAGGCCCUAUUGUUCCUACAAGGAGAUUGAGGCAAGGAGACCCCUUAUCGCCGUACUUGUUUAUUCUUUGUGCUGAGGGGCUUUCCCGUCUCCUGCAAAAUUGUAUAAGCAGUGGAAGCCUUCAUGGGUAUAGGGUUUCUCGGGGUGGCCCGCAGCUUUCUCACCUUUUUUUCGCAGAUGAUAGCUUGAUCUUCUUCCGAGCAAGUGUUCAGGAGGCUUUGGAACUCAAGCGUAUCCUUCGCAUGUAUGAAAAUGCAUCUGGACAGGUGAGAAACCUUCAGAAAUCAUCUAUCUCCUUUAGUAGGUACACUCCUGUGGCUCUUCGGGACUCUGUAUGCUCAGUACUUCAGGUUGAGGAGAAACCAGAUUUUGGAAAUUAUUUAGGACUUCCUUCUCAUGUUAGGAAUAAUAAGAGGGAAGUGUUCAGUUUUGUUAAGGAUAGAUUGUGGAAAAGGCUGAAUUCUUGGAAGCAUCGGGCACUGUCUCAAGCAGGUAAGGAGGUUCUCUUGAAAACAGUCCUCCAAGCUUUGCCAAACUAUGUGAUGAGCUUAUUUUUACUUCCUCGGACUCUUUGUGAUGAACUGCAACGCAUGAUGACUAGAUAUUGGUGGAGUAAGGGGGCGGAUCAAAAUCGGGGUAUUCAUUGGCUGGGUUGGCACAGAAUGGCAAAGCACAAAUCUGAUGGCGGGCUACGUUUCAAAAUUCUUUAUAAGUUUAACUUGGCCAUGCUUGGGAAGCAGGGCUGGCACAUUAUCAACAGGCCUCAGUCCUUAGUGGCUCGUGUCCUUAAGGCCCGCUAUUUUUCGACACAAUCUUUCUUUGAAGCUCCUUUGGGAAGUAACCCUAGUUUUUUGUGGCGCAGCAUAUGGGAAACUCGGGGUCUGAUUCGAGCUGGGGCUUACUGGAGGAUUGGGAAUGGUCAGUCAGUUUCAAUCUGGGGGCAACCCUGGUUGAGAGAGCUGCCUGAGUCCCUGGUUUCCACAACCCCUCCUUUGAACUGUGCUAGAGUUGUUGUUUCAGAUCUCAUAAUUAACCACAGAUGGAACGAGAGUUUAAUUGCACAGAUGUUCAAUGAAAGAGAUAGAAGUUGUAUUUUGAACAUCCCUCUUAGUCUUUCAUCGUGUUCUGAUACAUGGUACUGGAAAUUCGAGUCCAAAGAUCACUAUUCGGUUAAGAGUGCAUAUAGGUUCCUGGUUGAUGGCUUUCAACAUAGGGAAGGGAGCGAGAUAUGGAAAAGGUUCUAGAAAGCUAAAGUUCCCCCAAAAGUGCUCAAUUUCUGCUGGCGGGCUCUAGUUAAUGUUGUCCCUUGCCUCUCGUUACUUCAGUCCAAGAGAGUCCCAGUUGAUCCUUCAUGCCCGUUGUGUCAUGUAGCCCCUGAGAAUGUCUUGCAUAUUCUGAUUCAGUGCCCUUUUGCCCGCAGCUGCUGGUUAAGCUCGUCGUUGGGUUGGCCUGCGCCUUCUGCAUCUUCUUUAAAUGAGUGGUUUUCUUUAGCCUUCUCUUCUGCUUCUGUGGAAAAUGCCUCCCUUAUGCUAAUGAUCUUAUGGGCUUUGUGGCAAAAUAGGAACAAUGUUGUAUGGAAGGGCCAGGGUCAGACUGCGAGUGGUGUGUUCUUCAUGGCUCUGAAUUUUUUGCAGCAAUGGAAAGCAGCCCGGGUCGUGUCCUCAGUAAGCACCAUUGUCGACCCGGCUCGCCUGAUCUGGUCUCCUCUGCCGCAUGGUUGGAUCAAGGCGAACAUUGACGCCUCUUUAAGAUUGCAACGAGGUUCGGUAGGUUUCGGUUGUGUAAUCCGGAAGGAUGAUGGGAGUUUUGUGGCUGCUAGAGCAGGCUCUUUUUAUAGCCAGAUGGAUGCAAAGUGUGCUGAAGAUAUAGCAUUCCGGGAAGCAUUGAGCUGGAUUAAAGAGUGUGGAUGGGAUCGAGUUCUUUUCGAAUUGGAUGCUCAGGUACUUGUGAUGUCAGUUAAUUGUGUUUUAUUAGAUGAUUUAUCGUCUUUUGACCUUUUAGUUCAAGAUUGUAAACUGCUUCUAUCUAGUUAUGAGGAAACAAAGUGUGUUUUUGUUUAUAGAUCUGCAAAUGAUGUCGCUUAUGUUCUAGCAACAUCGGCUCAUUCUAAGUCAGGUCAAGGAGUUUGGAUUGAUAUCCCUCCUCCUCAUAUUGUUUCUUUGUUCUCUUUGAAUUAAUAAAGUUUUCUUGUUAUUUCAAAAAAAAAAAAAAACAAUUAUAAUAAAAAAAUUGAUUUAAUUUCAGCAAUGAUUUCUAGUGUGAAAAUUAUCUCAUUAUUGUUUAUCUUUAAUAAUACUUACAAAUAUAAAAACUAAAUUUAAAAUAUUAAUAAUAUUACCUUAUUUUACAAUUUAUUUAUUUAUCUAUCAAUAUGCAUUAACCAAUAUAUAAAACGAUCAGGAUGUUAGAAUAAUCCUUUAAAAAAAAUAUUCUGCAAAACGUAAAAUAAAAACUAUAAAUAGUUUUUAAUUUUUUAAAAAUAAACAAAUAAAAAACCAAUAAUAUUAUUAAACACAAUGAUAUUACAUAAGACUCGCUCAAAAUAGACAGUGAGCUGCUACCAUUAGACAGAGCCACAUAGCAAGGAUUUAAUAAACAUAUAUGCAGUUCCACCACCAUAGAAAAGAAGACCCGGGUGCUUCAGGACAAGUCGGACAGACUCGCCCUCUCAACUUUAGGGCAAUGCUCCAUAAGAAAAUUACCGUUAACGGCUAUAAUCUAGGAGAUCCCCUUUACGUCUACGAUCACGGAAUUCCCGACCAAUUAGCUGGAGAAGGUAUCUUACUAAUGAGUUGGUCAAAUCAUCGCCGGAUCAUCAGAGAAUGCCAUAUUUAUCUCCAUUUUCUUAAAAUAUAAAAGGAGAAAGAUUACAAAGGUAAAAGUACGUUGUUCUCUCACACAACUACUCUUGAGUUAUAAACAUUAUACUCGCUUUUCUUCACCCUACUGACUUGAGCAUCAGAGUGGCUACCGUAAACACUCACCACCUCACAUUUUCUUUCUCACAGGUUUAGCCAAUCACAGCACAGUUCCAUUUCGGCUACGUCAUCAAUUUGAUUUUAACAACAUCAUUUGGUUCUGUUGUUAAGAAUUCCAUUGAAUUCUUUCUGUUCAUUUAGAUUAAAACCGAUCUCUUAUCCCUUUUUUCCUAAAAAGAAAUCUUUCUUUUAUCUUUAGAAAUGAUCGACAAUUCACGAGCCGCUGCUAAGGUUGCUAUCGAUGAAAAGGCUAUAAUUUCUUCCACUACCAGCAGUAGACAAAACACAUCUCCUAUAGUCAAUGAAGUAGAUUCCAAUAAUAUGAGCAUUGAGAAAAUACUCCAGUACGUUCGAAGGUUGUAGGUUAUUUUUGAGCAAUGUAAAGCUCAGGAAAAGGCAUCACUCAUGGCUCCUAGGGGAAGGGAGAAAGCUCAAGGAUUCGGACAGGGGCAAUCCAGACGCAUUCCAAAGAGAAGGACAAGUUCGAGGAAGAGGGGCCGUUAGAUGAUGUUCCCAAGGAUGUUGGCUAGAAGUUGGUACGGGUUGCCUAAAGGGGCCAGGAGGGAUGGGAAAAAGACAAAAGGAUGGAUCAGAAGCAAAGUCAAAAACCGAAGAAUCAAGGAUAUGAGGGAGACAAUAAAAGUUACUCAGUCCCCCGAGGAAAGAAUGGCCAAGGUAAGUAUAAAAAAUAUACCUCAUUGAAUGACUCAUGAACACAUAUUCUAAUGUGGAUUAGGAAAAAUGACAAAAAGAUCAGGUGACCUCUCAAACUCAAUCCUAAGAAAGCCAAAAAACGAGACAGGACUAGAUAUUGUCAUUUUCAUAAAGACCACGGACAUGUAACAAAGGAGCGCUGACAAUUGAAAGAUGAGAUCGAAAGGUUAGUAGGGAACGACACACACUUUGAAAGUUCAUCAAAAAUAGUAGAAAAGAUAAGAGGCCCAAACUCGAGGUAACAAUUCCCGAAAUCAUCAUUGACAGUAAACUUGUGAGGUUAUUCAUGUGAUUGCAGGACGACUGAGUGUUAAUGAGGGUGACAAUAAUGGGAAUAUCACAAAUGUCCAGCUCUUGAGUCAAACUCCAAGUUUUGAAAUCGGUCAAGUCAGACGACCGAAUCUUUUAUUAGAAAAAUAUUUAUAAUUUAUGAAAAUGUUAUAAAAAUAGGAUGCAUUCUUCAAAUUUCUUUUUUGAAUCGUUGGAUGGAUGAAAGCGUGGAGACAAGAACAAAGGUCACAAGGCCAUCUGGGCAUGGGUCCUACAUAUAAUUCGGGCAUUGGUCUACGGAAACAAACAUUUAUAAAAGGCCACAAGGCCAUCCGGGUAUGGGUCUCACAUAUAAUCCAGGUAUUGGUCCACAAAAACUAAUAUUCAUAAAAGGCCACAAGGCCAUUCGGACAUGGGUUCCGCAUAACCAGACAUUUCAUAUUAGGCCACAAGGCGGAUAUACACCAGGCCAACCAAGUGUUAGUCCCGUUUCACAAAAAAAUUUUAAGGCAUUUUAUAUCAGGCCACAAGGCGAAUAUAUGCUAGGUCAACCGGGUGUUAGUCCCAUUUUACAAAAAGAUUCUUAAGGCAUUUCAUCCAAGCCACAACACGGAUAUACGCCAGACCAACUAGGAGUUAGUCCUGUUUCAUAAAAAAUUUCUUAAGGCAUUUUAUGUCAUACCACAAAGGUGGAUAUACGCCAGGCUAACCGGGCAUGGGUCCCGCAGUGGACAAACAACGUGAAACACGGCAACUAUUUUCGGCAAUAAGAUCUGGAACCUAUCGAAAGGGUAAGUAAGAAGAAAGCAAGAAUAUCGUGCAUUCAGUCUAGACAAACAAGUCACAUGGCCCAGAUCAUGAAAACAUCUGUCACCUUCGAAUCUCAAGAAUCGAAGACCAGCGGAGAACCUCUGAUGCUACAUAAGACUCGCGCAAAAUAGACAGUAAGCUGUCACCAUAAGACAGAACUACGUGAGAAGGAUCUGAUAAACAUAUACGUAAUCCCACUUGUAGAAAGAAAACCUGAGCGCUUCAAGACAGAUUGACCUCAAGUCGAACAGACUUGGCCUCUCAAUUUCAGUGCAAGACUCCAUAAAAAAGUUACCAUUAACCGCUACAAUAUAAUUUCAGCAACAUUAAACACAAUUAUCAUGCAAAUUAAAUAAGAAUUAAUUAUAAAAAUUCAAAAAAUUAGUUAUAUUGAAAAAAAAGAGAUUAAAGUGUGUAGUAUGUAUAUAAAUAAUAUCAUUAGCUGAAAAAAAAAUUCUCAUUCUUAUAAUUUUAGUCCUUUUUUUAGUUUUCAAAAUUAUCAUCGAUUUUAUUUUUUACACUAUGUCCAUAUUUUUUUUCUAUUUUAUUUUAUUUAUAUUAUAAUAAUAUAUAAAUUAAUUAUUAUAAUUUUAUUUAAUUUAAUACUAUUUUUAAAAAGUCUUUUCAUAAUAUCCGGUAAUAGUUAAUAAAAUUUAAUAUUUUUAAAAUCCAUAUAAUUAUAAAAUUAAUAAAAAAAUGUUCAUCCAUUACGGACAUAGGAGGACAUCCUAAUCGUAAUGGAGAUGCACAAAAUGGACAGUGACGUGUCCUCUAUCAUUGCUUUCCUCACAUCGCAGCAAAACCGACGUCACGCUCUUCCUCCAUUCCUCUCUCGCGAAGAGCUAAGUUAAGCUCUUCUUCUCAGAAUUCAGAUUCUAGGGUUUCGUUUCCUUUCCCUCUUCUUUCUCAGAAGUUAAACCCCGCCAAAACCUUCUCAGUCCUCUACAUUUUGCCUCUUCGCUUUCCACAUUUCACCUCCAUUAUCAAUUUCUAUCUUCCAGGAAAAUCCAACUCCUCUGGACCUGCCACAUCAAUCUAUUCAUGGCCAAAACCAAACCAGGCAAAAAAGACCUCGAUUCCUACACUAUCAAAGGCACCAACAAAGUUGUUCGACGUAUGUAC